AUGCACGCUGGCGGCGUGCCUAAUCCAUGCAAGUCGAGCGAACAGACGAGGAGCUUGCUCCUCUGACGUUAGCGGCGGACGGGUGAGUAACCCGUGGAUAACCUACCUAUAAGACUGGGAUAACUUCGGGAAACCGGAGCUAAUACCGGAUAAUAUAUUGAACCGCAUGGUUCAAUAGUGAAAGACGGUUUUGCUGUCACUUAUAGCUGGAUCCGCGCCGCAUUAGCUAGUUGGUAAGGUAACGGCUUACCAAGGCAACGAUGCGUAGCCGACCUGAGAGGGUGAUCGGCCACACUGGAACUGAGACACGGUCCAGACUCCUACGGGAGGCAGCAGUAGGGAAUCUUCCGCAAUGGGCGAAAGCCUGACGGAGCAACGCCGCGUGAGUGAUGAAGGUCUUCGGAUCGUAAAACUCUGUUAUUAGGGAAGAACAAAUGUGUAAGUAACUAUGCACGUCUUGACGGUACCUAAUCAGAAAGCCACGGCUAACUACGUG
rnacentral:rRNA from 1 species